GCUGGCAGACUUUGUCCUGGCAAAAGAUUCUUGCUAAGUGAUGUAGUAACUACAGAACAAUUUAUGGCAGCAAAACAGGGAAGAGUGCUGUGCAACAUCUCUUACCUUCAGAUCCCACCGGACCCUGAAACCCUGCUGCUCCUUGUUCACCUCUGGAGCCGGGAGGAGCUGGAAGGCCACCCCUGCCCUGGAGUCCUGGCUCUCCAGGCAAAGAGCACUGACUUCAUUGGAAAAGGUUGCUGGGAUCAAGACUACAUGAGCCCCACAACCCUAAUCUUUCACUCUUGCUACCACCAUGCAUCUCUGAUGAGGCUAGUAGCAAGAGGUGCACUGCAUCAGGGCCACGCAUCACUGCUGCUACGUUCUCUGGGUUGACAGUACACCCACAAGGAUGUGUGCAUUUCCACCAAAGACAUUCAGUCUUGAUUUAAGUGAGAUCCGUAUCUGAUGUUUGGCUAUGUGAGUGUUGUUGAAGUUUUCUCCUGGUUUGCUUAUGUUCUGAAUUCUAGGAGGAGGAGGAAAGCCAAGCCCUGGCUUUGAAAGACCAAAAUUUGACUCCUCUCUGACUUCAGAAUUUAAAGUAGAAGAGAGCCAAAGCAGUGCUCUGGUGGCCUCACUCUGCUAAGGGGAACUGAGCUUUCACUCCGAGUGUGCGACUCCUACCUGGA